rnacentral:rRNA from 1 species
UGAACGCUGGCGGCGUGCCUAAUACAUGCAAGUCGAGCGAACAGACGCGGAGCUUGCUCCUCUGACGUUAGCGGCGGACGGGUGAGUAACACGUGGAUAACCUACCUAUAAGACUGGGAUAACUUCGGGAAACCGGAGCUAAUACCGGAUAAUAUAUUGAACCGCAUGGUUCAAUAGUGAAAGACGGGUUUGCUGUCACUGAUAGAUGGAUCCGCGCCGCAUUAGCUAGGUGGUAAGGUAACGGCUUACCAAGGCAACGAUGCGUAGCCGACCUGAGAGGGUGAUCGGCCACACUGGAACUGAGACACGGUCCAGACUCCUACGGGAGGCAGCAGUAGGGAAUCUUCCGCAAUGGGCGAAAGCCUGACGGAGCAACGCCGCGUGAGUGAUGAAGGUCUUCGGAUCGUAAAACUCUGUUAUUAGGGAAGAACAAAUGUGUAAGUAACUAUGCACGUCUUGACGGUACCUAAUCAGAAAGCCACGGCUAACUACGUG